GACGAACGCUGGCGGCGUGCUUAACACAUGCAAGUCGAACGGAAAGGCCCUGCUUUUGUGGGGUGCUCGAGUGGCGAACGGGUGAGUAACACGUGAGUAACCUGCCCUUGACUUUGGGAUAACUUAAGGAAACUGGGGCUAAUACCGGAUAGGAGCUCCUGCUGCAUGGUGGGGGUUGGAAAGUUUCGGCGGUUGGGGAUGGACUCGCGGCUUAUCAGCUUGUUGGUGGGGUAGUGGAUUACCAAGGCUUUGACGGGUAGCCGGCCUGAGAGGGUGACCGGCCACAUUGCGACUGAGAUACGGCACAGACUCCUCCGGGAGGCAGCAGUGGGGAAUAUUGCACAAUGGGCGGAAGCAUGAUGCAGCAACGCAGCGUGCGGGAUGACGGCCUUCGGGUUGUGAACCGCUUUCGCCUGUGACGAAGCGUGAGUGACGGUAAUGGGUAAAGAAGCACCGGCUAACUACGUG
rnacentral:rRNA from 1 species